rnacentral:rRNA from 1 species
UACGUAGGGUGCGAGCGUUGUCCGGAAUUAUUGGGCGUAAAGGGCUCGUAGGCGGUUUGUCGCGUCGGGAGUGAAAACCUUGGGCUUAACUCAGGGCUUGCUUUCGAUACGGGCAGACUAGAGGUAUGCAGGGGAGAACGGAAUUCCUGGUGUAGCGGUGAAAUGCGCAGAUAUCAGGAGGAACACCGGUGGCGAAGGCGGUUCUCUGGGACGGUACUGACGCUGAGACGCGAAAGCAUGGGGAGCGAACAGG